AUUGCUCUGUAAUACUGCUUGAGUUCAGGGA
rnacentral:piRNA from 1 species